AAAAAUACUACUAUCUUUUAUAAUUUCAUAAAAUGAUAUAUAUUACAUGAAUACUGAAUGUGGUAUAGAUCAUUUUAUGGUGAACAAUACAACAACAAAAAAGGAGCUGGAGAAUGAACUGAAGCAGAACAAUUUUAUUCAGUUCCUUUUUUGCUUCUGAGGCUUCUGCUCUACUGGAGGCGGAAAUAGAACACGAAAAAUCCAUGCAGCCAAAAUUGCUCCUAUGAAGGGACUGAUCCAAUAAACAUAAAAGUGUUCCAAUGUCUUGUGUGUAUUGCUUAGGUAAGCCCAGCCAAAUGCAUUGGCUGGAUUCAUAGAAGGUCCAGUGAAGUUUGAACCUGCCAGUACCAAUGGUAGAGUUACCAUGGUGAGCAACCAAUUCUUGAGAAGUACACUUUCCGGACCCCUUAGUACAAUGACAAAGAUCAUAAAUGUGAUUACGAAGGUCAAGACACCCUCUGCAAUAGCUCCGGUUUGUACAUCCACCUUCAAAGCAGGCCCGUCAAGCAUGUGGUGAUAGUGUUUAGGCAUAAGCUCCACGAGUGCUAGUGAACCAGCAACUGCACCUGCUACCUGAGCAGGACAACGAACAGCAGCAGAGACAAGAGAAUCGUCACCAAGACCAGCAGCAUAAAAGGCAGCAUUUCCAGUUGGAUUGAAACCAGCACCACCCAAUACAUCACCAAGAAAAUCAAACAUCAAGAAAAUAACAAAAACAAUAAGGGUAGUGAUGAAAAGGGAUGGAAUUUCAUUGACAAUACCAAAAUAAGAAGCUAUGAAAUAAGUAGAAACCCCAAUAUUAGAGGAGCAAAAAACCCAUAAAAACGUCAAUAACCCAUCAGCAAUCGCUGCUUUAAUAACACCCAUCUUAUGUCUAAGGGGAGAUCGAUAGACAAGAGUCAACUCCCAAAUCCUACUUGAAUCAGUAGUACAAAUACAUACAAG
rnacentral:misc_RNA from 1 species